rnacentral:misc_RNA from 1 species
GAGAACGUAGCGAAAUGCGAUACUUGGUGUGAAUUGCAGAAUCCCGUGAACCAUCGAGUCUUUGAACGCAAGUUGCGCCCGAAGCCAUCAGGUUGAGGGCACGUCUGCCUGGGCGUCACAUAUCGUUGCCCAAUGCCUAUUGCAGUGCAAUAGGAAUUUCUAGGGCGAAUGAUGGCUUCCCGUGAGCGUUGUUGCCUCGCGGUUGGUUGAAAAUCGAGUCCUUGGUAGGGUGUGCCAUGGUAGAUGGUGGUCGAGUUAGAACGAUACCGAUCAUGUGCAUGCUCCCCAAAAUAUGGCCUCUAUGACCCACACGCGUCUUUUGACGCUCAUGACGAGACCUCAGGUCAGGCGGGGCUACCCGCUGAAUUUAAGCAUAUCAAUAAGCGGAGGA